UACGUAGGGUGCAAGCGUUGUCCGGAAUUAUUGGGCGUAAAGAGCUCGUAGGCGGUGUGUCGCGUCGGCCGUGGAAACCUGGGGCUUAACUCUGGGCUUGCGGUCGAUACGGGCAUCACUGGAGUUCGGCAGGGGAGACUGGAAUUCCUGGUGUAGCGGUGAAAUGCGCAGAUAUCAGGAGGAACACCGGUGGCGAAGGCGGGUCUCUGGGCCGAUACUGACGCUGAGGAGCGAAAGCGUGGGGAGCGAACAGG
rnacentral:rRNA from 1 species